AGUACUGAAAAGACAUUUGGAGGACAUGUACCAAAAUGUUAACUGAGCCAGUUUUUGCGUUAACAGAUGGUUCUUAUAGCAGAAGAGUCCAACACAAGGAAAGCCUGCCAGACCCAUGCAGCCAACAGUGGCUGGGCAAAUGCAGAUGAGAAGAGAAAGAAAGUGCCCUGGGAAUGUGGAAUACCGCUGUGGCAACCCGACAUCCCCCGAGAAUUAGGAUGGCAUGGUCUGUUGCCCUGGGACCACGGACUUUGCCUCCUCUUCCCUGCCACUCCAUCUCCUCAGGGAUUGGCCCCUCCUGGGUCACCAGCCUUGAUGUGCUCAUUUGUGCAGGCGAUAAACUAAGACCUCCUUUCCUUAAACUAUAAAUAUAGGAAGUUUUGACUGUGUGCUAGAGUACUCGCAGGUACCUAGGAAGACAGUGGAUGUUUAUAGUAGGCAGAAAUAGGAAGCUUUGGGAAAGGUGGAUCUAGCCAAGCUCAAGGACCCACACUUUUAAAUGCUAAAAGCAACACAGAUGGGGUUCAGGCUUGGCUUGGAAGACUGAGAGACGAAGUCAAAGUGCAUCAAAGCAAAAACUGGAAGAUAGCAGAUCGAGAAGCUGGAUGGACAUCAGAUAUGCACCCUCGGGGAAGAGGCUGAAUUUUAGAUGCAGUAGGAUAGCCGGGAAGACAAGAACAGGAGCUUACCUGGGCAGCGGCACCAGCAUCCAGGAGCCCCUUGGACUGGACUUUUGUUCGCCUCGCAAGCAGGAAAGCCCAGAUUUUAUUUAUUCAUAAGAGACACAGAGAGAGAGAGAGAGGCAGAGACACAGGCAGAGGAAGAAGCAAGCUCCAUGCAGGGAGCCUGACGUGAGACUCGAUUCCAGGUUUGGUUUAUUUUUAAGCUACAACUUUCCAGGUGUCCCCCAUUCCUUCAUAACAUUCAGACCCCAAACUCCUUCCCUCUUUCAAGGUUCCUCUCCCUUUAUAGGGACACAAAAACCAAUCACCACCUUGUUGAAAUUAUAGCAAUGGUUGUGUUGCUAGGAAAGAAGGAAAGGAGGACCCAGUUGACCCUCCCUCUUGGCAAAAUGAGAGAAAAUCCAGGGAAGCUCUCCAUCCAAGAAACCUGUGAGCAGUGACUUGACAGGGUCAAGUGUCCCUACUCAGAUGACCUUUAUCACGUGGCCCUGGCUCUUCGGAUUUCCAAGCACAAAUGCUAACCCAUUAAGAGAUUGCCAAGCUGGCUUUGUGACAUCGGUACCCAGCAGGUGGGCCCGGUGUGACCAGUGUUCAGCGAUGGGGUGGUGGGAAGAGACCAGGGCUUGCUCUACAGCCCUGCCCAACAGAACUUUCUGCAGUAAGAGGAGCGGUCUGCAUCUGCAGGCAGCCCACGGCCACGGGACUCAUGCGGCCUUGAGCACUCGCACGGGACCAGCUUCAAUCCUCCUGGACUUCUCUGUUUUCUUGCUUCCCUCACAUUCAGCUUCUCCUUGUUGGUUCAUCAGUCUCUAGCAGCUCCACGGCCAAAGCCUCUCCUCGGCUAACCCUACCCCACUGGCCAAACUUCAGCAAGAAGCAACGUUACGCUAUCUGCUUUGAAAAGACUGAGUGUGGCUUUCUCUGAGCAGGAUGAGGUUGGCAAGGAUGGCUGAAGCUGGGCGUCAUGUUCCAAACUGCUAAUUUGCUAAAAUAAUUUGGGAAAGUGCUACUUUAAAACCCCGACAUGAACGAAAGCAACCUCUCUGCAAUUUGUAGGAGGCAAAAGUCCAUGCUACUGGAGGUUACACGUGCUAAUUGUCUCAGUGGUUGUUUAUGAAAUGGCUAUAGAAUAUUUGUUUCUCUCUGUCAGAGCACUUGGCCCAGAAAGGCAGGCUCCCUUGCUGAGGUUUUCUAUCGUGGCCCAAUCCAAGGACUCAGCCUGAUUUCUUAUCAACUGGAAAUUUGGAAUUACAUAAUCAGCUCCCUGCGCCUGCCCUCCCCCCACCCUCAGGAGCUGCAGAUGUGUUCAUGGUAGCCUUUGCAGUCCAGGCAGAUUGUCCCGUGCAGAGGUCCUGCUGAGCAGAGACAGACAGGCGGACACAGGGGACUGUGUUUUGUACUAUUCUGGUCAACCGCCUGCCGUUGGCUGGAUCAGGGCUGGGCAUUGACCCCAGAGCCCCUGGCUUCAUAGGCUGGACAGUGACCUAUGACCUUGCACAAAAGAAUGCCCUCCAUGGGGGGAUCCCCAGCUGGCUCAGCAGUUUGGUGCCCACCUUCAGCCCAGGGUGUGAUCCUGGAGUCCCAGGAUCGAGUCCUGCAUCUGACUCCCGCAUGGAGCCUGCUUCUCCCUCUGCCUAUGUCUCUGCCUCUCUCCCUCCCUCUCUCUCUCUUUCUCUCUGUGUCUCUCAGGAAUAAAUAAAUAAAAUCUUAAAAAAAAGAAAAAAGAAAAAAAAAAAGAAUGCCCUCCAUGGAGAUUUCCUUUCUCUGGACUCUAAACUGGAAGCAGAAAUGGCAGAUGGGGGUUGAGAGAAGAGGAGCUAAACGGAGUGGCUCAGCGAGAGAGCCCUCUCAGCCAGAGACUGAGAUUUUGCAUAAAUGGGGGAGAGCCUCGGAAUCUGUGUUUUUAAAAUUCCUCCGGAGACUCCAACGCACUCCUAUCCAGUGUGUUUUAAUUCCAUAGGUACUUAGUCACCUCCCACAGGACACUUGUACCUAACCUCACACCUCCCGUUUGAAACUUUAACCUAAGAGACCGCCGGUAUUUUGCUCUUGUUGGUAGUAAUUCAGUGUAAGGCUUUCCAUUUAAUAUUUCCUUAGGAUAGAUUGCUCCUAGUGGGGUUAAUCGUCAAGGAGAUACUUAUCUUUGCGGUUCUCGCCACAGGUUACCUCCCAACUGGUUGUGUGACUUCACUGCAUCGUUGAUUAACUGAGCGUGUCAGUUUUACCACAACCUUGCCAGCACCGACAAUAUUAUUUUGCAUUUCCCUCCUAAUCCCCUGCAUUUCUUUAGUAAAGGUUUGAAAGUGC